rnacentral:rRNA from 1 species
GCGACCCCAGGUCAGGCGGGRCUACCCGCUGAGUUUAAGCAU